AGAGUUUGAUCCUGGCUCAGGAUGAACGCUGGCGGCGUGCCUAAUACAUGCAAGUCGAGCGAACAGACGAGGAGCUUGCUUCUCUGACGUUAGCGGCGGACGGGUGAGUAACACGUGGAUAACCUACCUAUAAGACUGGGAUAACUUCGGGAAACCGGAGCUAAUACCGGAUAAUAUAUUGAACCGCAUGGUUCAAUAGUGAAAGACGGUUUUGCUGUCACUUAUAGAUGGAUCCGCGCCGCAUUAGCUAGUUGGUAAGGUAACGGCUUACCAAGGCAACGAUGCGUAGCCGACCUGAGAGGGUGAUCGGCCACACUGGAACUGAGACACGGUCCAGACUCCUACGGGAGGCAGCAGUAGGGAAUCUUCCGCAAUGGGCGAAAGCCUGACGGAGCAACGCCGCGUGAGUGAUGAAGGUCUUCGGAUCGUAAAACUCUGUUAUUAGGGAAGAACAAAUGUGUAAGUAACUAUGCACGUCUUGACGGUACCUAAUCAGAAAGCCACGGCUAACUACGUGCCAGCAGCCGCGGUAAUACGUAGGUGGCAAGCGUUAUCCGGAAUUAUUGGGCGUAAAGCGCGCGUAGGCGGUUUUUUAAGUCUGAUGUGAAAGCCCACGGCUCAACCGUGGAGGGUCAUUGGAAACUGGAAAACUUGAGUGCAGAAGAGGAAAGUGGAAUUCCAUGUGUAGCGGUGAAAUGCGCAGAGAUAUGGAGGAACACCAGUGGCGAAGGCGACUUUCUGGUCUGUAACUGACGCUGAUGUGCGAAAGCGUGGGGAUCAAACAGGAUUAGAUCCCCUGGUAGUC
rnacentral:rRNA from 1 species